UUGCGUUAACUAAUCAGCCCAGGUGCUUAAAUGUGUGUUGCUCUGCACAGGUGGGGCUGAGGAAACGAAAGCGAACUGCCAAUGAAAAGUAGUAAGCGUUGGUCCGCUGGAGCCACCUACAAGCGGGGAACUGAAAAGUAAACUAACUUUUAGUUUAUUGUUUUUGCCCGGAACCCGUGAGGGGGAAAGGUGAAGGUGUUUUGUGUUUUGAGUGGGUGCGCUCUCUCUCUCCAAGUUUCCAUACGGCAAUCAACGGUGUUUCCCCGAACUGCUGCAUCUCCCUCCCAUGGGUGUCAUACUGGUGUGUGACAAAUGGGAAAUGAACAUGAAGGAUUUCUGUGGCUGGCCUACGCAGAAUUUCAAACGGUGGAGAUACAUAAGAUUCCCCAGAACAGUAUUUCUUUUGGAAUGAAGCAGAUGGAGUGUACUGUGCUCCAGGAUAGUCUUUCCUGUUCUCUGUUAUUGAACAGGAAGAGAGAAGAACAUUUGGUAUGGAAUCUGGAAGGAGUAAGGGGACCGAGAGCUGAGUAAGAAUAAGCGCAGGCCACUGCUGGAAUAGCCGCUGUUUGAAUGGCUUAGCGCAGGAGGGGAUGUGUACAGCUCACGUCCGCAGUCGUCUCCCGCGUGCUCGGACACCAGCAGAACCUGGAGACCUCCUCCUUGGAGCUGCCCUCCGCAUACUCUUACCAGGCUUACAGAACCAGCAGCCAAUCUGCAAGCCAGGAAGGUGGCCAAAGUCAAAGGUCGAGAGACACCUGCGCUUAAAUGUAGGACUGGGAUUUCAAACUGUCACUUCCUGUCACUUCCUGCACAUUUGUAAAAUUCUUUUUUGGUUCCCCGAGCUGUAGGCAGUGACCAAAUAGUGUCUAUUUCUUUCUCAAAAUGAAAGGAACAAUUUAAUAAUGCUGGGUGUACCACACAAUCCAAACAGUAAUGAGGACAGACUAUAGUCCUUAGAGGAAACAGACCACGUUAGGUGUCCUUCCUUUAACGUCUUGCCAUGUUCGAGUGGAGGAGGACUCAGUGGAUGUGAACACUAAACUCUGCAAUCUGCUCGGCCUGAAUGACAGUCUGCUCUCCAGCCUUUAUUAGUGCCAGAACCGGUCCUCUCUGCAUCCCGGUCUCAGAUACUCACAUAGCAAACACGAAUGUGUAUUCAGUACACCGUUCCAGUUUUCCAGAUCUGAAAUGACAGUAUAAUUAGUUUAACACGCUAGGAUUAUUUCCAGUUCAUAUUAGUAAGAUUCAGUUAAAAGGCAGUGAAGAACACCCACAGUGCCUCUAUGACAGUUGCGCAGCAGGUCGAUGGGCCCAUGCUGUGGAGAUCCAUAAUGGAGGCAAAUGCACAUAUAUCUAAAUAAUUCGGUAUGCUCAUGACCAUGGUCAGAGUGGAUGAUGAUGGGGGGGGGGGAAGGAGAGGUCCUGUUCUGGAUCAUGCCACUGUGACGUUUUUCGGAGGCUGACCACCAGUCCCUCUCCCCUCCACCCCCCCCACGGACACCCACCAGCCUCGACAUCUGAAUUCAGCGAAAUAACCGCAGGAGUGUUCCAAAUCGAUGGUGCAGCAUUACCAUAGAAAUGAAAGUGGCACGAAUCAUUAAACUCCCUCGCAUACAACUAAUUACAACUAAAAUGGUAAAAUAUUGAAAAUUCAGGAAUACAAGAAUAUAAAAUCAAUGACUAAAUAGCAUUGCAUAAACCAUAUAGGUAUAGAGUAUAAAAUGAGUUUGCAAAUAUUAAAAAGUUAAUGUGGAAAUUACAAAAAGUUCAUUUUCCACAAUUGUAACUGGCCUGGGAUCAGUAUACUUUUUCUCCAGUAGAAUUUGCCACCUCACAUGCACCAAUUCAAAAUAGAUCUUGAAGUAAAUCAUAAAAUGCAACAGCUGUUUUUUUUGGAAAUCGGCAUGACCACAUCAUGCAUCCUCUCUAUACCUUACAGAACACUUAUCAGUGCAAACCUAGAGGCGUUUUCUCAACGAGACAUACUAUGAUCGUGUCUGCAUUCACCAGUAUGAUGCUGUGAAUUCUCACCAGUACACAGGACUGCAUAAUUACACAUCAUUAGACUUUAACGCAUUGCUCGGCGUCCGUAAGCUUUCUGGAGGAACUUGUAUUUGCUCAGGAACUCCAUUUAAAUGGAAACAAGCUCUCAUUAAACUGCUAUACUCGAGUUGGCGUUGAUGCCAUUUCAGUUAAUCAGAACUCCACGGCUUUUGGUGUAAUUGCAUGGGUUUUAAAUCAACAUACUAUGCAGCACCCAGUUUUGAUUGCACCGACUGGCUGUCAUUUCCCAGUUUGAUUAGUUAGUGGAAUAUUUAACAAAUAGCAGGGCAAACCUAUUAUAUCAAUGCCACCCAGGAAAAGUAGCCAAGUGUUUACUCUAUUUAUGGGGGGGGGUGAAACAGGCUUCUCUUCCAUUUCAGUCUGUAUCAUUCCCCAUAGAUUACCACUUGCUGGCAUAAGCACGAAAAUAGAGUUCAGUCAAAUCUCGUACACAAUACGAAACGAUUCUCUUGUGUGCACCUCAGAGUGCUUUUACACAGGCCUCUGCACAAAAAAAGGUAAUCACACUCGGAGUGGCUUUUUACUAUCAGCCACUGUCCGCUAAAAUAGUGUGGCAAACACUUUCGAUACUUUUGACACUGUCACCUGGCAGGGGUAAUUACCCACAGGAAAAUAGACUCUGAGAGACCUAAUGGGAUUAGUGUUAUCACAUAAGAUUUUCUUCGACAGUAAAUGUUAACUGCCUCAAUUAAAGAUGCAAUGUGGCUCUGUGCCUAUAAGUGGUAUGCGUCACCUUCAGAAGAUCAAUACGAGCGUUCAUCCAAAGACAUUUCAUUUGUUUUACUGUAAUCACGGAUGGAAAUUUUAAUAGCUAAAUCUACACACUGCUGGAAUAAAAAAAAAAAAACAUUGUUGCUAGGCUUGGAACAUGUACAUCAGGCUUUGACAUUUUUCACAGCCAGCGGCACUGAAAGCUGAUGCCACUCUGCUCUCAAUUGAUCGCAUUCAGGUGCAAAUUCAGGUGCAAAUCAAAGCCUUACUGGGACUGACAUUUUCAGAAAUAAAUGCUUGUAGUCCAUUAGCUCAUGACAGCCAUUUUUUUUUGAAGAUUUUUUUUUUUCACAGUUUAGUUACAGGAAGUUCUGCAGUAUUGUAUGAGGGGGAAAAAAACAGCAUGUCAACCCACGUUCUUGAGAAAAAGAUCUUUAAAUCUUUCACAUGUCCUGAAAGAAAUAUUGGUCAAAUCAUGAAGAUGGAAAUAGAUUUUUUGAAAUAAUUUAAAAUGGAAGAAAAUUGAAUAUGCUACAUCCAGGUCCUUGAGACUAAGUAAUAAUAAUACUAAUAAUAAUUAUUAUAAUUAUAAUACCCACAGUUCUUGGACUCCCGAUUACUCAGAACAAUAAAAAGGACUAGUGGACAGUGGCAAUGCAACUGCUACGUUUUGACAUAGAUCUUCAUGCAGAAGUACCUCCAAAAAAAGUAUGUUGCUAUCUAUGUAUGCUCUUGAUAAUUGACUGCAUUUAUAUUGCUGCCAUAAUCGCCUAGUUUCCAGUGCUUAUUUUAGAACAUGCAUUCUACCCCUUCAUUACGCUGGAUAUUUAAUGAAUAUUUAAUUCACGCCUUUCUCAAGCGUGUGUGCAGCUGUGCCAAAUCCAGCAUUGUAUCUACCAGCUUCCAGUCUGCAGUCUUCAUUGUCUUGGUAGCAGCCGUACCACCCUGUACCCGUCUCAUGGCUAACUGCUGAAGCUAAGCAGCCAUACCACCCUGUACCCUUCUCAUGUCAAACUGUUGAAACUAAGUAGUCAUACCACCAUGUACCCGUCUCAUGGCUAACUGCUGAAGCUAAGCAGCCGUACCACCCUGUACCCGUCUCAUGGCUAACUGCUGAAGCUAAGCAGCUGUACCACCCUGUACCCGUCUCAUGGCUAACUGCUGAAGCUAAGCAGCCAUACCACCCUGUACCUGUCUCAUGGCUAACUGCUGAAGCUAAGCAGCCAUACCACCCUGUACCCGUCUCAUGGCUAACUGCUGAAGCUAAGCAG